GGCCAAUCUCUAUGUAUUAAACGGGCUUGAUUGUAACUAUAAAGUAUAAACGGACCGGGUUUCAGGCAAUACCCGACCCGGAUAAAAUAAAAGUUCCCUUGUCUUGUCUUGUUGCUGUGUUCUUCUUCUUCAUUGUUUCACUAGCAGCUCUUUGAGAAAUCGGGAAACAAAGAACUCGCUGCUUUCAAUGACAAUCAAACAGACUACACAAUCUGCAGAUGAUUCAAACCCCGUGAGAUUCCAACGAGCUUGAAUCCUAGCAGCUACUACUCAGUGGCGGAGACGAUUUCCCACAGGAUGAAAAGGAGAAAUGUUGGGAGAACGCAAUGGUUGUCGAUGGAAUGAACAAAGACAGAUGGUGCCUAGAUGUCCAAGGAAAUCUGGUUUGCAAGCCUUUACACAGAGGCUCUCUUGGAGCACAUUGCUUCCAGUUUCAUGCAAUUGACAAAGACAAGGAACUCACAGCUGAAAACUGUCAGAUUCUGUGUGCUGCUGCAGCCCGAGGAUUGAAGCCGGACUCUUCUUUUACUCAAGAAGAUUUUAAGCUGGUUGAAAUAGCUCUCUACGGUGGAAGCAGUGUCGACAAGUGAAUGACGAUAUAGAUCCAGAAGCUAGAAUAAUUUGUGUUUUUAUGACUUUUAGCCUUAGCUAAUCUAUGUUGUAUGUAACUUUAGCCUUAUCUAAUCCUAUGUUGUAGUGCGUGGAGCCUAAACAUCAUUAUAAAAUGAAUAUUGUCUAA